UACGUAGGGUGCAAGCGUUAAUCGGAAUUACUGGGCGUAAAGCGUGCGCAGGCGGUGAUGUAAGACAGGUGUGAAAUCCCUCGGCUUAACCGGGGAACUGCGUCCGAUACUGGAUGGCUUGAGUUUGGGAGAGGGAUGCGGAAUUCCAGGUGUAGCGGUGAAAUGCGUAGAUAUCUGGAGGAACACCGGUGGCGAAGGCGGCAUCCUGGACCAACACUGACGCUGAUGAGCGAAAGCCAGGGGAGCAAACGGG
rnacentral:rRNA from 1 species